GUUUUGCCCGCCGAAUAAUCCUUAGUCUUUUACAGACUAGCUUUGAGUAAACUUCUGGUGAGCUCAAAGUAUUCCCCAAACCCUUUAUUCCCCAAACCCUUUAUUUCCAAAACCCUUCCGAGAAGAAAGAGCAAUCUUGCUGUUUUUUCUCUCCACCCAGAGUGAUUACUGUCGAACACACCAAGCCUUUUCCGUUGAGAUGCCUCGAGGAAAGUCCCACCGCCGAUCCGAAGCUGCUCGUCGCAGGUUUGAAGCAACUCGGGCUCAGCGUGUCGGGAUGCCAGAGCCUUCCAGCGACUUUGUUCCACGGUUAGGGUUAGCUGACUCCCAAACUCCACAUGUUCACCAAAAAUGCAACCUGGAGAUGAAGACACAAUGAGCACAGAUGUUUUCAGCUUCUUUAAUGAGAAAGAGGAUUUCCUCCUGCAAAUCUGAGAGUGGAGAACUGGGACAUAGGCUGCAACAGCUUUUGUGUGUUUUUGUGCGAGAACACAGCUGCUUUCUUGCAUGUGCAGAGCCGUUUUUGCACCUCUGGUGAGUGUCGUUUUAUGUGCAGCAGAGAGGCGAGAGGCCUGUAAACAUGUCAAUACAGUAGAUCUUAAUCAUGUGCAGCAUUCUGUAAGGUGACACACUUGAUUCAUAGUGAAAAGUCACUAGUUUGAUGGUGUGGGCAACUCAACACCAAGUCAUCUCUGAAGUGGCAACUAAUCAGCAGACAAAAAGAUGUGGAUUUAACAAGGCCUAAAAAUUUUGUUAGUGACUCAAACAUAGAGUACAGCAUCAUCACCUUUGAGUUAUGCUGACCCAUUCGUUCAACUCCAGACUCCCAUCUUACUUCAGUAUAAAAAAAUGCUAAUGUUCUUUGUUGAAGUCAAAUGCUGUAAUAUGUAAUGCUGGAUGUUAAAUAUUUGUAUUUGCUUAAAGCAUAAAUAAAUCGUUUGGGGGCCUCACUGAGGCAGCAGAGGGAUCUCUGAGAGCUUUGUUUGCAUUUUAAAGCCAUCAUGCAAACACAAGAUCAACAUUUAGUGAGGUCUGUAAUUUUUCUGGAUUUUAUUCUGCUGUAGCCAAUUAACAUCAUUGGUACAGUUUGGGAUUUUUGAAGCCAGGUUCUGUUUAAAGGUUGUAAGCAGUUAAUCUCUUACCUACAGUAGAACACUCUCUUGGCAACUUCAUUUAGUAUAAAUCCUGAUUAAAUAGUGGAGGCUGAAUCUAACAGCUAGUCGGACAGGGUCCAAGACAAAGAAGACCACGGUGGACUAAUUCCAUUUUAAAACAAUCCCAACCUAAAUGAUUUCACUGGAACACUAUUUUAUGAACCGUUAAACUCUCCUCACUGUUACAUCGAGCGGACAUUAUUACACAUUUUGUUUAUUAUUAUUUUAAAAUGCUAGGUUCCUGUUAACUGAACCAUUUCUGUUAUUCAGAAGAACUUUCACUUCAACAGCACAGCAGCUUUGUUGUGUACCCCAGGGAUCAGUCCUUGGCUCCUUUUCACAAUCUUUUCAGGUGCUGUGCCAUUAGCUUUAUCCUCUGGUAUCAUGAUUUAUACUAAAUACUGACAUCAAAAAAGUUACCGACUACAGGCAAGACUUGUAACUGUUUAGAAUAUUUCAAUGAAAUGUUAUUUAAAAAAACUGAAAUGUUUGCCCUGAAUAAAAAAUGUUAAUGUCUGUAUUAUUUAAGGUUGCAUAAGCUGAUUUUGUGCAAUUAUAGUUGCAAGAUGCAGGCUGAAAUGCUACUUCAUGUUUGGUGAUGGUAAGGGGAAGUGCAACUGACAAUAUUCUAUUUUUGCAUAUUUUCUAUUACAUAUUUCAGUGUAGAAUUUUAUGGAUGACUAAUCUCUAUCAGAAGGGUACUAAGGGCACAGGUGAGCUUAAGCAAUUUUGUGAUAGUUUAAUUUUCAACAACCGAAAAUGAGUUUAAAGG